rnacentral:rRNA from 1 species
CUUAAUUUGACUCAACGCGGGGAAACUUACCAAGUCCAAACAUAGUAAGGAUUGACAGACUAAGAGCUCUUUCUUGAUUCUAUGGGUGGUGGUGCAUGGCCGUUCUUAGUUGGUGUAGCGAUUUGUCUGGUUAAUUCCAUUAACGAACGAGACCUCAGCCUGAUAACUAGCUAUGCGGAGGUGACCCUCCGUAGCUUGCUUCUUAGAGGGACUAUGGCCCUUCAGGCCACAAAAGUUUGAGGCAAUAA